UGAUUGGUUCUUUGAGACGUGACGGUGCAGUCACUCCACGAUGUGAGGAAUGCAAGCAGCAGGUGACAGGGACACCUGAAAAUGAGGACCCGAGCCAGUGCUCUCUCUCUCUCUUUCUCUCUCUCUCUUUCUCUCCCUUUGAGAGGUUUUGUCCCAUCUGGAGCAGAUGAACUGAGAGAGCCACAUUACUGGGCCGUAGCCUCAUGCCUUUGAUCCUCCUCUACUGGAAUGGGCAUUUCUGCAGCUGUAACCACUGCUCUGCUGGCCCGACCCCAUCCAACCCCAAAGCUCCUAAAAUACACAUGCAGAAACACAAACACAUGCACCCCCAACGCUCUUGCUUAUUAAUCCAUUUGUUUCGAUGCUUUGUUCCUGCAUGUCGUCAUCAUUAUACUACAAUUAAGCACCGAAGCACACACACUCUAUGUCGCAGAUAAUCCUCCGCUUUCUUAUUAUACGACUUCUAAAUUAGCCAUCUGCUUCAUCAAAGACUUUGUAAUUUGCCAUGUGUGUUGCGUUGUGUUGUUU
rnacentral:lncRNA from 1 species